rnacentral:rRNA from 1 species
CUACCAAGACAGUGACGGUUGACGGGGAAUCAGGGUUUGAUACCGGAGAGGGAGCCUGAGAGAUAGCUCCCACGUCCAUGGACGGCAGCAGGCGCGAAAAUUGCCCACUCUUUGCAGGAGGCAGUUAUGAGACGUGAAAGUGAAUAUUCAGUAAAGAUGAAUAGGAGAAUUGGAGGGCAAGUUUGGUGCCAGCCGCCGCGGUAAUACCGACUCCAAGAGUGUGUAUGAGAGAUGCUGCAGUUAAAAAGUCCGUAGUCUAUUAAAUAUAAAUAGAGAUGUGAUGUCUCUGACAGAUAUAUUAGAGGAACCAAUGGGGAACAUAGUAUACCAGGGCGAGAGAUGAAAUGUCAAGACCCCUGGUGGACUCAGCGAGGCGAAAGCGAUGUUCUUGUGGGUAUUCAGUGAUCAAGGACGAAGGCUGGAGGAUCGAAAGUGAUUAGAUACCGCAGUAGUUCCAGCAGUAAAAGAUGCC